rnacentral:tRNA from 1 species
GCCUACGUGGCGCAGUGGUGAGCACACUCCAUACGUAACCGAGAGGUCCGUGGUUCGAUUCCUGGCGAAGGCG